UGGGUGGUGUGGAGGUCUGGGAUUACAUUUUGCUCCUUCGUUUUGUCAUUUUUGAAGAUCCAGAGGCUCCUGGAGUGCAGCCUCACUCUGCCGAUUGUGUGUGAGUGGCAGGGUGAGAGUCUGAAGAUCCACAGUGCCAGUGCAGCUCCUGUGCUAGUGAAUGGUGGCAAGACGGCAUCUGCUAUGUACAAAAUACUUUGAUCAUUCAAGUUCCCUAUGCUAGACGGCCCUCUACCCAUCAAACUGCGGUGUGCUCAAGAGAACAACCAGAAAAAUCACAACAGAAAAUUGAACGAACGUUCUUCUACUUCCACAUGCUUCCACAAUCCUCUCCCAAAAUUCCCAGAAAAAGAAAAUCCAGUUCUUCUCCAACUUCACCCUUAUCACCUCAGGAAGAAAAAGCAGGCUCCAAUGCAGGAGCUGGAAAGAGCCUGACUUGGACAAGAGGAACUGCAAGAUGUAGGAAUGUGUGACUUUUGUGUGGCCCUGCCCUUAUUUAUAAACCUCCUUACUGUGCUUCAUCUCAAGUUUCUGAAGAGGUAUGAAUUGUGUUUAAUUAAAGCUAGAGUGAUGGAAGUGGACAGAGUUAUUUCAAGGCUGUUCACACAUCCUUAGCCCCUCUUAUCAAGCUUUCAGAGCUCUAUUUUAAAAGGUUAGGGGGGUGGUAGGAGGCAAUUAUGUCUCUUCUCUAACAGCUGCCAGAGAUUACUGCCGUCAGAGUAAUUAUCACCAAAUAAUUGUCCCCUUUCUUUCCUGCUGAUGGGGCAGAGACUCAACUGAAGUAGAUUUUGUAUUUGCUGAAUACAAGUUGGGUAGCUAAGGUCAACAAGCAUCCAUGGAGUAUUUAUUUCAGCAUUAUACCUGUUGACCACAGCAAAAAAUUAAAAUUCAUUUGUUACCGAAGAGAAAGCCAUCAAAUGUCCCUUCCCUAAGAUCAUGCAGAUUUCUUGAAUUUGAAUAACUGGAGUUGAAAUAAAUGUUUAUUUUAGCCUAAAAUAAAUCAGUCUCUGCUGAGGAUGAAUUCCAG
rnacentral:lncRNA from 1 species